ensembl:lncRNA
GGCGGGAGAACGCUCGGGAGUUGUGGCCGUGGGCACGGGGCUCGCGGCAAGAGGAGCGGAGAGCGGGCAUCUCCUGAGCGCCGUCAUGGCUGCUUAGGCUGCGCCUGCCAGCGGACCGACGGUGUCGCCCGAAUCCGGCUCGGAUAGGUCUGGUUGGAGUCUGUGCCUGCUUGCUUGGCGUGUGGUUGUUCCUGCUUGAUUGGCACGGUGCCAUUGGCUUCGUAUUUGGGAAUCGGAGGAGUUAAUCUUGUGAGUAUGUUCUUAACGCCAACCCCCUGUCUCCCAUCUUCCUGCUCUACCUGCUCCAGGGUAUUAAAACACCGGACACCAGAGGCCCUAAGCUAGGUAGAGGAGGGGUACAGUUCUAAGGAAGAUUUCUGGCUCCUUACUGAGACGGUACCCAUAAAUCUGAAUCUCACUGUCCAAGGUCAGAGAGACUGCUUCUCCCCGUAGCCACCGUCCUAGACACUGCAGCCACUAGGAGGGUAGCUGAAGGCCUAGAUCAGGUUUAAGUGCCUUAUUUACAUUGGCAGAGUGUUUCCUUGAACCUAGAGAUUUUCAUGGCGCCUGAAAGGUGGGGAACUGACCCUCUGCCCUCCAUAUAUCAUGGUAUGACUUGAAGC